CAGUAGGGAAUAUUGCGCAAUGGGGGAAACCCUGACGCAGCGACGCCGCGUGAGUGAUGAAGGCCUUCGGGUCGUAAAGCUCUGUCCUUAGGGAAGAAUCAAGUGACGGUACCUAAGGAGGAAGCCCCGGCUAACUACGUGCCAGCAGCCGCGGUAAUACGUAGGGGGCAAGCGUUGUCCGGAAUUAUUGGGCGUAAAGGGUGCGUAGGCGGCCUAUCAAGUCAGAUGUGAAAGAGUCCGGCUUAACCGGAAGAUUGCAUUUGAAACUGUUAGGCUUGAGUAUCGGAGAGGGCAGUGGAAUUUCCAGUGUAGCGGUGAAAUGCGUAGAUAUUGGAAGGAACACCAGUGGCGAAGGCGACUGCCUGGACGAAAACUGACGCUGAGGCACGAAAGCUAGGGGAGCAAACAGGAUUAGAUACCCUGGUAGUCCUAGCCGUAAACGAUGGGUACUAGGUGUAGGUGGUUUCGAUACUAUCUGUGCCGCAGUUAACGCAAUAAGUACCCC
rnacentral:rRNA from 2 species